rnacentral:rRNA from 1 species
UACAGAGGUGGCAAGCGUUGUUCGGAAUUACUGGGCGUAAAGGGCGCGUAGGCGGCCAUCUAAGUCAGACGUGAAAUCCCUCGGCUUAACCGGGGAACUGCGUCUGAUACUGGAUGGCUUGAGUUUGGGAGAGGGAUGCGGAAUUCCAGGUGUAGCGGUGAAAUGCGUAGAUAUCUGGAGGAACACCGGUGGCGAAGGCGGCAUCCUGGACCAACACUGACGCUGAUGAGCGAAAGCCAGGGGAGCAAACGGG